rnacentral:rRNA from 1 species
GGCAACUUCCAUAUCACGUUCGAAACUACCAGUUCUCGUCCGAUCACUGAAGUCAAGCAACGUUGAGCACGGUUAGUACUUGGACCGCUUGGGAACACCGUGUAAUGUUGUCU